rfam:Ricinus communis cultivar Hale ctg_1100012358012, whole genome shotgun sequence.
AGUCCGUAGUGCGAGUAACAUUGGAGCAAGUCUUUAUACCUCUCUCAGGCAUCAUACAUGCUCUCAUCAUUGAACUGCACAAAAGAAGAUAUGUCAUUUCUCAAUCU